rnacentral:tRNA from 1 species
GGAGAGGUCGCAUAGCCUGGUUUAGUGCGCUCGCCUGGAAAGCGGGUAGGCCAAAAGCCUCGCGAGUUCGAAUCUCGCCCUCUCCG